UGGCCAAUGACAGCCUCGCGCGCCUUUUUGCUAGUGCAGUUUGAAAAUAUACUAAUCAGUUUGGGGAUGUGCGCGCUACUGAUCCGCAAGAUUACGAGCUCAGUUCCUGAUUCUGUGCCUGUUAAAUUCUUAUGGUACACUAAUUUGAACUGUGAGAUGUCAGUGGACAACAGAAGCUGGAAUGUGAACACAGAGGAAGGGGCAGACUGGAUGUGUGAGAUCCCGAAAACAUAUGGCGAUAUCAGGUGGCACAAAUAAAGGGAAAUAGACUCGUCACCAUCUUCAGUCCUUUAUUUCAUUCACUGGAGAACCUUCAGAUGUGUCAUAUCAGGAUAAAUGCAACUGCAGGACUCGUCGGGCCCACCCAACUACAGAUUCACCCAGGAUCCAGCUGAUCACUGCCAAUUUGAAGGAGGAUUGUCCUUUAUCUGCUACAUUGCACUCACUUCUG